AUUGAACGCUGGCGGCAGGCCUAACACAUGCAAGUCGAGCAGAUGAAGGGAGCUUGCUCCUGGAUUCAGCGGCGGACGGGUGAGUAAUGCCUAGGAAUCUGCCUGGUAGUGGGGGAUAACGUCCGGAAACGGGCGCUAAUACCGCAUACGUCCUGAGGGAGAAAGUGGGGGAUCUUCGGACCUCACGCUAUCAGAUGAGCCUAGGUCGGAUUAGCUAGUUGGUGGGGUAAAGGCCUACCAAGGCGACGAUCCGUAACUGGUCUGAGAGGAUGAUCAGUCACACUGGAACUGAGACACGGUCCAGACUCCUACGGGAGGCAGCAGUGGGGAAUAUUGGACAAUGGGCGAAAGCCUGAUACAGCCAUGCCGCGUGUGUGAAGAAGGUCUUCGGAUUGUAAAGCACUUUAAGUUGGGAGGAAGGGCAGUAAGUUAAUACCUUGCUGUUUUGACGUUACCAACAGAAUAAGCACCGGCUAACUUCGUG
rnacentral:rRNA from 1 species